UACGUAGGGGGCAAGCGUUAUCCGGAUUUACUGGGUGUAAAGGGAGCGUAGGCGGCGAUGCAAGUCAGAAGUGAAAGCCCGGGGCUCAACUCCGGGACUGCUUUUGAAACUGUGUUGCUAGAUUGCAGGAGAGGUAAGUGGAAUUCCUAGUGUAGCAGUGAAAUGCGUAGAUAUUAGGAGGAACACCAGUGGCGAAGGCGGCUUACUGGACUGUAAAUGACGCUGAGGCUCGAAAGCGUGGGGAGCAAACAGG
rnacentral:rRNA from 1 species